AUUGAACGCUGGCGGCAGGCCUAACACAUGCAAGUCGAGCGGGGUUUUCGGACCUAGCGGCGGACGGGAGAGUAAUGCGUAGGAAGCUGCCCGAUAGAGGGGGAUACCAGUUGGAAACGACUGUUAAUACCGCAUAAUGUCUACGGACCAAAGUGUGGGACCUUCGGGCCACAUGCUAUCGGAUGCGCCUACGUGGGAUUAGCUAGUUGGUGAGGUAAUGGCUCACCAAGGCGACGAUCUCUAGCUGGUUUGAGAGGAUGAUCAGCCACACUGGAACUGAGACACGGUCCAGACUCCUACGGGAGGCAGCAGUGGGGAAUAUUGGACAAUGGGCGCAAGCCUGAUCCAGCCAUGCCGCGUGUGUGAAGAAGGCCUUCGGGUUAUAAAGCACUUUCAGCGAGGAGGAAGGGUGGUGUGUUAAUAGCACAUCAUUUUGACGUUACUCGCAGAAGAAGCACCGGCUAACUCUGUGCCAGCAGCCGCCGUAAUAC
rnacentral:rRNA from 1 species